rnacentral:rRNA from 1 species
UGAGUACGAGCGGCUACGGCCGCGAAGUGGAUGAUGUCAAGCUUCCAAGAAAAGCCCUAUACCCGUUAAGGCAUGAUGGCCUGUACCCGAAACCGACACAGGUGGGGUGGUAGAGAAUACCGAGGGGCGCGAGGUAACUCUCUCUAAGGAACUCGGCAAAAUGGCCCCGUAACUUCGGGAGAAGGGGUGCCACCGCGAGGUGGUCGCAGUGAAGAGGCCCAGGCGACUGUUUACCAAAAACACAGGUCUCCGCUAAGUCGCAAGACGAUGUAUGGGGGCUGACGCCUGCCCAGUGCCGGAAGGUUAAGGAAGCUGGUCAGCGCAAGCGAAGCUGGCGACUGAAGCCCCGGUGAACGGCGGCCGUAACAAUAACGGUCCUAAGGUAGCGAAAUUCCUUGUCGGGUAAGUUCCGACCCGCACGAAAGGCGUAACGAUCUGGGCGCUGUCUCGGAGAGAGGCUCGGCGAAAUAGAAUUGUCUGUGAAGAUGCGGACUACGUGCACCCGGACAGAAAGACCCUAUGAAGCUUUACUGUAGCUUGGUAUUGUGCUCGGGCUCGGAAUGCGCAGGAUAGGUGGGAGGCUUUGAUCCAUUGCUUGCGGGUGAUGGUGAGCCACUGGUGAGAUACCACUCUUUCCGAGCUAGAGUUCUAACAGCAACCCGUUAUCCGGGUGCUGGACAGUAUCAGGUGGGCAGUUUGACUGGGGCGGUCGCCUCCUAAAGGUAACGGAGGCGCGCAAAGGUCUGCUCAGGCUGGUUGGAAAUCAGCCGACGAGUGUAAAAGCAGAAGCAGGCUUGACUGUGAGACCUACAAGUCGAACAGGGAGGAAACUCGGCUUUAGUGAUCCGACGGUUCUGCGUGGAAGGGCCGUCGCUCAACGGAUAAAAGUUACUCUAAGGAUAACAGGCUGAUCUCCCCCAAGAGUUCACAUCGACGGGGAGGUUUGGCACCUCGAUGUCGGCUCAUCGCAACCUGGGGCUGAAGUCGGUCCCAAGGGUUGGGCUGUUCGCCCAUUAAAGCGGUACGCGAGCUGGGUUCAGAACGUCGUGAGACAGUUCGGUCCAUAUCCGGUGCACGCGCAGGAAUAUUGAGAGGAUUUCUCCCUAGUACGAGAGGACCGGGAGGAACGCACCUCUGGUGUGCCAGUUAUCGUGCCAACGGUAAACGCUGGGUAGCCAUGUGCGGAGUGGAUAACCGCUGAAAGCAUCUAAGUGGGAAGCCCACCUCAAGAUGAGUAUUCCCAUGGCAUAAGCCAGUAAGGUCACGGGAAGAACACCCGUUGAUAGGCUCUACGUGGAAGCGCAGUAAUGUGUGAAGCGGAGGAGUACUAAUAGACCGAGGGCUUGAC